UACGAAGGGGGCUAGCGUUGCUCGGAUUGACUGGGCGUAAAGGGCGCGUAGGCGGAUAGUACAGUCAGGCGUGAAAUUCCUGGGCUCAACCUGGGGGCUGCGUUUGAUACGUGUUGUCUGGAGUUCGGAAGAGGGUCGUGGAAUCCCAGUGUAGAGGUGAAAUUCGUAGAUAUUGGGAAGAACACCGGUGGCGAAGGCGGCGACCUGGUCCGAUACUGACGCUGAGGCGCGAAAGCGUGGGGAGCAAACAGG
rnacentral:rRNA from 1 species